rnacentral:rRNA from 1 species
AUUGAACGCUGGCGGCAGGCCUAACACAUGCAAGUCGAACGGUAACAGGAAACAGCUUGCUGUUUCGCUGACGAGUGGCGGACGGGUGAGUAAUGUCUGGGAAACUGCCUGAUGGAGGGGGAUAACUACUGGAAACGGUAGCUAAUACCGCAUAACGUCGCAAGACCAAAGAGGGGGACCUUCGGGCCUCUUGCCAUCGGAUGUGCCCAGAUGGGAUUAGCUAGUAGGUGGGGUAACGGCUCACCUAGGCGACGAUCCCUAGCUGGUCUGAGAGGAUGACCAGCCACACUGGAACUGAGACACCGUCCAGACUCCUACGGGAGGCAGCAGUGGGGAAUAUUGCACAAUGGGCGCAAGCCUGAUGCAGCCAUGCCGCGUGUAUGAAGAAGGCCUUCGGGUUGUAAAGUACUUUCAGCGGGGAUGAAGGGAGUAAAGUUAAUACCUUUGCUCAUUGACGUUACCCCCAGAAGAAGCACCGGCUAACUCCGUG